UACGUAGGGGGCAAGCGUUGUCCGGAUUUAUUGGGCGUAAAGAGCGUGUAGGCGGCCGUACAGGUCAGCUGUGAAAACUCGAGGCUCAACCUCGAGACGUCGGUUGAAACCGUACGGCUAGAGUCCGGAAGAGGAGAAUGGAAUUCCCGGUGUAGCGGUGAAAUGCGCAGAUAUCGGGAAGAACACCCGUGGCGAAGGCGGCUCUCUGGGACGGUACUGACGCUGAGACGCGAAAGCGUGGGGAGCGAACAGG
rnacentral:rRNA from 1 species